CGAGAUGGAACUGGAUCUAUCCCCCUAGUAGGCCGCGAUGGAAUUGGCUCUGUAUCUCUAGAUGAAUUCUGAAAGCACAUGAACAAUGAGCUAAUUUCAUAUCUGGAUAGUAUUUAUUUCUUCCAUGUUCAUCAUGACGAUCUAAAUAUGACAAGAAUUCUCGAUUAAGUAUGUACUAGCUCGUCUGAUUUUGGAGGCAGUACAGGAGGGUUUUUUUUUGUCGUAACUCGUGUCUACAUCUGCAGCUUCUCUUCCUAUCUUAACAGAGUUUCAAUGAAGCCCACAAGUGACCCUCAAAUUACGGGCUAUUCUAUUCUAUUAUAUCGAGAUUUGUGACUUCUGCUGGCCACGUGACCCAUCAUGACAGACAUGUGACAUCUCUAUCGGUUUCGUAUCAAAAUCAGCUUAGCUUAGCUGAAUUCAAUCUGAACAAAGGCUGUGAAUGGGGCAACGGGUGGCGCCUAAUAAUGCCCACUUGUAGCCCUCUACACCUAACUUGGCGCAGCAACCCUUUGCAGAAAUGACCUGUAAGUCCUCCUGCCUCUUUUUAGCUUUAUAUUUUUACCUACAAAAUUAAUUAUUACCACAAAAAAAAACCCCUAAAAUUUCAUUAAUUAUUAUAUUAGGA